AUAGGCUUACUUCAGAUGGUGUGAAUCCAUGUGUGUGAUCAAUCGCCUUCCCUUUUAAGGUUCCAGGCUUACACAGCAAAUGCCUUUUCCCGCUGAGCCAUCUUGCCAACCUGGAAGUAUCAUUUUCUCAGAUGGAGAGGAACAGCUUUGUGAGGAAGCAAAUGACUGUGUAGUGCACAUGUUUCUGAAAUGCUUAUUGGCUAAGUGGAGAUGCCAGGCAAUGGAACCCAGAGUCUCCUACUUACUGGGUGAGUGCUUUGCAACUGAGCUCUGCCUGCAGCUUGUGACUAUGAUCUCUUAAUUUCCCUGAACAAUAAAAAGAAGUGGAGCAGAGCUCAUGGAUUUCUGUCCUGUGCUCAGAACAGGCGUGAGACCCUUUCUCAGCUGCUCUGUGGCCAUUUCUACCUCAGCCUAUAAGUGGAUGUGAUGGUACCUGGAACACAGGGAUUUCCCAAGACACAGUGGCUUCUGCAACUGCUCUUUCUAAUAGAACAGAUGUUUUCCCACCCCAGCUGCUACAGGGGGAUUCCAAAAAUCCUGAGACAUUGAUGCUUUCUGCUUUCAGAGUAGCUAGUCUGAGGCUGAAGCAGGUCUGUUCAUAAAAGUCUCUCUUUCCCUCUCCCUCUCCUUCCUUCUUUCCUUUCUUCCUCCCUCACCUUUCCUUCCUCCCUUCUGUCUUUCCAUCCUUCUUUUCCAUCUUAACUUCCUUCCCUGAGAAUAGAAACUAGAGCCUCUUGUAUGCUGGGAAAGUGUUCUGUGGUGAGCUGAACCUCCAAUCCCAUUUUCUUCCAUUGGCUGAUUAAAUGGUUGAUU